CAAACUGAUAUGAUAAGAUUUUUUGCAGUAGGAUACACUAGAAUACAGGAAACUAACAAAAUUCUAAACCUGAAAAAUAGGAAGCUAAUAACAAACUCCUAAACUAAAGGAUAUCAAUUGUUAUCCUUUAAUAAGAAGGCCAUAACCUUGUUUGAUUUGUAGAGAAGACGUUGUACAACUUGUUCAGUCUCUUGAAUGCCAUUAAGACAUAAAAGUUGUUGUAUAUAUGCCAAAAUACAGAAUCCAUAGAAGCAGGGUGGGAUGUAGAGUUCAGAUUAUGGAUUUAUCCGAACCCGGUAGCUUGGUAUGGAUCCUUUAUGUAUUUUAAAAAAUUCAUUAAAUAAGUACAAAUAAUUGAUUCCAGACCCAGUAAAUCAAAUGAGUUGUUAUAGAAUCCCGAACUCAAAACCAUAGAGGAUCCACCUCCGCAUAGAAGCGCUUGCUUGGUAAGUUGGUGC
rnacentral:lncRNA from 1 species